rnacentral:rRNA from 1 species
GAUGAACGCUAGCGAUAGGCCUAACACAUGCAAGUCGAGGGGCAGCAUAGAGUAGCAAUACUUUGAUGGCGACCGGCGCACGGGUGAGUAACACGUAUGCAACCUACCUACAUCAGGGGAAUAACCCGGAGAAAUUCGGACUAAUACCGCAUAAUACAGGGAUGCCGCAUGGCAAUAUUUGUUAAAGAUUUAUCGGAUGUAGAUGGGCAUGCGUUCCAUUAGCUUGUUGGUGAGGUAACGGCUCACCAAGGCAACGAUGGAUAGGGGAACUGAGAGGUUUGUCCCCCACACUGGAACUGAGACACGGACCAGACUCCUACGGGAGGCAGCAGUGAGGAAUAUUGGUCAAUGGACGAGAGUCUGAACCAGCCAAAUCGCGCGAAGGAAGACUGCCCUACGGGUUGUAAACUUCUUUUGUACAGGAAUAAAAGACAUUACGUGUAAUGUAUUGCAUGUACUGUACGAAUAAGCAUCGGCUAACUCCGUGCCAGCAGCCGCAGUAA